rnacentral:rRNA from 1 species
AUUGAACGCUGGCGGCAGGCCUAACACAUGCAAGUCGAGCGGAUGAAGGGAGCUUGCUCCUGGAUUCAGCGGCGGACGGGUGAGUAAUGCCUAGGAAUCUGCCUGGUAGUGGGGGAUAACGUCCGGAAACGGGCGCUAAUACCGCAUACGUCCUGAGGGAGAAAGUGGGGGAUCUUCGGACCUCACGCUAUCAGAUGAGCCUAGGUCGGAUUAGCUAGUUGGUGGGGUAAAGGCCUACCAAGGUGACGAUCCGUAACUGGUCUGAGAGGAUGAUCAGUCACACUGGAACUGAGACACGGUCCAGACUCCUACGGGAGGCAGCAGUGGGGAAUAUUGGACAAUGGGCGAAGGCCUGAUCCAGCCAUGCCGCGUGUGUGAAGAAGGUCUUCGGAUUGUAAAGCACUUUAAGUUGGGAGGAAGGGCAGUAAGUUAAUACCUUGCUGUUUUGACGUUACCAACAGAAUAAGCACCGGCUAACUUCGUG